GCUGCGCACUUCGGUCUUUUACGUCGGCCUUCGCGAGCGUCUGGGCGGGUGGUAGGUGAGUGGGUAUUGCGGGCUAGUAUCCGAGCAAAAGAUGGUGGCGCAGGCCGAGUUAAGAGCUUUAAUCCUGUGAAGACAUCUUAGUGAAGAGUUUAGAGUGCUGAGAGUUGAAAGCUUGCACGUGGGAAACGUGCGGCCGGACUGCCACAUGUACUGAGGUUGAGUCGUGACGGCCACAGGCUCCGAGUUUUGGCGUGAGGAACCGCUGAUCGGCCACGGGCGCCGAACUUGCUGGCCUCCGGCAUGUGCCUGAGCGGCGGCGGAAAAACCACCUUAAUUGGGGCGGAGGGUUAGUUUUAACAGCAAAGGGCCUUUACUAAAAUGGCGAAGGCCUUCCGUCGGCGUUGUUUUAAAAUGGGAAGCCUCGACCCUGUAUUGAAACUGAGCUGUUCGAAGGCGGCGUUGUGUGCAAUUCGGAUUAAUGAAGGGGAAGGGUUUUGUGUGGAAAAACGCCUUGGAGUGUGACAUUUCUGCGAGAAUGCUUAAAUACCGAUUUCCCGCAGGAACAAUGGCGCUGUCUUCAGUGGCACAGUGGAGCAGCUCUGAAGAUGCAAAGAUACACGAAAAAACUUCCAGAACAUCUGGGAGAAUAUUUAAUGGAAAAUCGCUUGGUUAAAACCUGACACUUUUAACAGUGAGGGUCGCUGUCUGCCCAUUGAUAGAGGCCAGAUUGUCUUGGAAGUUCCAAAGUUGCAACGAUUUCUGGCUAGUGCCACGAGGUUUACUUGACUGUUGUGUGAAAAGCUGAUAAGAAAACCAUCCAGAAAAAAGCUCUUCGUUUUACAAACAUGAAAAUAAAACAUUUAGUUGAAUCCAUGGACAUGAAACCCACAGAUAUAGAGGGUUGGCCCGGUGCAGUGGCUCACGCCUGUAAUCCCAGCACUUUGGGAGGCCAAGGCGGGUGGAUCACCUGAGGUCAGAAGCUUGAGACCAGCCUGGCCAACAUGGUAAAACCCCAUCUCUACUAAUAAUACAAAACAAUUUGCUGGGCAUGGUGGUGCACGCUUGUAAUCCAAGCUACUCCAGAGGCUGAGGCAGAAGAAUCGCUUGAAUCCGAGAGGCAAAGGUUGCAGUGAGCCCAGAUCACACCACUGCUCUCCAACCUGGGCAACAAGAGCAAAACUCCGUCAAAAAAAAAAGAUACAGGGUCAACUGUACACAUUAAACACUUCUAUCAACUAGUGAUGUCAGUCUUGUCCAUUGUAUUAUUGCCUAUCUUACUAAACAGUCAUAUUUCAGGAAGUACAAUAUACUCAAAAACUAAGUUAAUGUUCUUUGUAGAUUUAUGGUUAAUGGAUGAUUCAUAUAAUAGAAACUUAAAUUUAUUUGACCAUUCUAUUUAAUAUAGAAUAAAUACAACUAGCCAGGCAUGGUGGCUCAUGUCUAUAAUGCCAGCACUUGGGGAGGCCAAGGUGGGAGGCUCACUUGAGCAUAGGAAUUCAAGGCCAGCCUGGGCAACACAAUGUGAGACCCGUCUCUAUGAAAAUUUUAAAAAUUAGCCAAGCAUGGUAACACAAGUCUGUGGUCCCAGCUACUUGGGAGGCUGAGGCGCGAGAAGUCCAGGAGGUCAACGCUGCAGUGAGCUGUGUGUGUGCCACUGCAUCCUAGCCUGGGCAACAGAGCAAGACCCUGUCUCAAAAAUAAAGAAUAAAUACAACCUAUUAAGCUUGAGAGAUCCAGUGAAAUCCAAAUAAGAGAAACUGUGUCCUACACAGUUUUCUGUUAACCAUUUUCUUGGUAUUUAAAUUAUUUAUCAAAUUUUAACUUCAAUAAAAAAUUAUUCUGGAGAACACAUACCUCUAGAGUAAGUAAAGUAUACACUUUCAAUUUUUAGACAUGA
rnacentral:lncRNA from 1 species